rnacentral:rRNA from 1 species
GAUGAACGCUGGCGGCGUGCCUAAUACAUGCCAGUCGAGCGAACAGACGAGGAGCUUGCUCCUCUGACGUUAGCGGCGGACGGGUGAGUAACACGUGGAUAACCUACCUAUAAGACUGGGAUAACUUCGGGAAACCGGAGCUAAUACCGGAUAAUAUAUUGAACCGCAUGGUUCGAUAGUGAAAGACGGUUUUGCUGUCACUUAUAGAUGGAUCCGCGCCGCAUUAGCUAGUUGGUAAGGUAACGGCUUACCAAGGCAACGAUGCGUAGCCGACCUGAGAGGGUGAUCGGCCACACUGGAACUGAGACACGGUCCAGACUCCUACGGGAGGCAGCAGUAGGGAAUCUUCCGCAAUGGGCGAAAGCUUGACGGAGCAACGCCGCGUGAGUGAUGAAGGUCUUCGGAUCGUAAAACUCUGUUAUUAGGGAAGAACAAAUGUGUAAGUAACUAUGCACGUCUUGACGGUACCUAAUCAGAAAGCCACGGCUAACUACGUG